rnacentral:tRNA from 1 species
CAAGAUAUAGUUUAAAUAAAAUAUUGGCUUUGGGUGUCAUUGAUAUAAGUUUAACUCUUUUUAUCUUGA